rnacentral:lncRNA from 1 species
UCACAGGUUUGAAAUGCAGGGGCGGGUUGGAGACAGAGGAGUGAUUGGUGUGGGGUGGGAAUUUGGGGAUUCUUUUAUCCCCUGCAUCUCAAAGCCUGACAGGCUCUUGAGGGGUGGAAAUGACUGGUAAUUAGUGAACCUUCUACGCACGCACUAAAGACGCACUUCACAGUCUGCAUGACCUCUGCAGCCCGGUGAGGCUUUGUUAUGUAGAUGCUCUUAAUUGGGUGAGUCACUUACUGCAAACAGCUUUGGGAGAGAGAACCGUGGGCUGUUUCUGGGAGGCUUCCUACCAGAGGUUCUGACUUAGGAGCUGGGGGCGCUGGCAGCAGUGGCCUCUUAGAGGCUUCACUCAGACCGGUAGAAGUGGUCCCCGUGUCUGGGAGUCAGCACGGUGAGCCAUUAGGGGGCAUGUUAAGUGUUGGCCUUCAUCGUCUUCUUGCCUCUGUUGUUCUCCUUCUCUAUUUCCCAGUUUAUAGAUCACCUCUUCUGGGCAAGGCUGAGAGUAUUUUGAAAUAUAACUGGGUUCCUACAGUCAAAGAACUGACCACCUAGUUGGGAAGAUAGUGGCAGAAAUCAAUGCACAUAACAACAUCAAGUUGCAGGCAUCAAUGCCAAGCACACAGGAGAGCCUUUUAAUGAUGUUUCAGACCCCAAAGCAGUCAUCGAGGGUUGGAACAUUGGAGAUCCUUGUCAACAAGGAAGACCGCAGGUGCUCCACAGGGCUGUAGGGCUCUGUGUGCCUGUGCCUGUCUCUGCUUCUGGCUGCAGCAUCCUGAAGCCUCAGCCCCCCUGUGCUCUGAAGCUGAGGAGCCAUCCAGAGCCUGCAGCGGCUGUCUUGGGUACUCAUCUUUCUGGUUGGGGUGACACUCUACCCUUGGAAGCACCCGAGUCCAGGUUCACCACGAAAGCACAGCAAAGUGAGAACACGACAACACGGCACUGGGAGAACAUGCAGAGCUUCUGCAUUUGCUAUUCCCUCUGCCUGGAAAACCCUUCUACCAAGUCUUCUCAUUGCUGGCCCCAUCUUACUAUUCAGGCUUCGGCUCCAAUGUUGAUCCCCUUAGAGAAGCCUCCCCAGAACACCCCACAGCCAUCUGAAGCUGUGCAGUUUGUGUCCCCCCAAAUUAGCACCCCGCCCCCACUCUUUAUUGCAUUGUCUACUUUUGUCUUUAUAGCAGAUGUCAGUGCUACCUGAAAUUAUGUAUUUCACAUACGUGAAAUUACAUUAUUUAUCUGCUUGUUGCCUGUGUCUUUCAUGUAAACCUCGUGGGAGUAAGGACUGUCUUUGUCUUGGUCCUUGUUCUGCUCCUGGUGCCUGUCAUGUAGUAGGUGCUCAGGAAAUUUGUUGACAUUCUCUCUCCUUAUUUUGGGGAGCUGUACCUACUUACCUACUUAUGUGUGUGAUGUGCGCAGGUUGCUCAAUUGUGUCUGACUCUUUGUGACCCUAUGGACUAUACAGUCCAUGGAAUUCUUCAGGCCAGAAUACUGGAGAGGGGAGCCGUUCCCUUUUCUAGGGGAUCUUCCCAACCCAGGGAUUAAACCCAGGUCUCAUGCAUUGCAGGCAAAUUCUUUACCCACUGAGCCACCAAGGAAGUCCUACUUAACUUGUAUUUUUAUUUUACUAAUAAAUAGUUUCUUAGAUUUGUUAGUUUACAUUUAAGGAAACUGAGGCUAUUAGGAGUGAAAGAUUCUGCAUGGGCUCCCAGCUGGCUGGUACAGAGCUAGGUCUUGAACCCAGGACUCCUAGGCCAGGGCAUUGGCCACUCUAAGGCAUGACCAGCCCUUCAUCUGACCCUCAGCACCGGUGAGGUCAGGUGUAGCUGCCACCUCUCUG